rnacentral:rRNA from 1 species
UCCUUGUCGGGUAAGUUCCGACCUGCACGAAUGGUGUAACCAUGGCCACGCUGUCUCCACCCGAGACUCAGUGAAAUUGAAAUCGCAGUGAAGAUGCUGUGUACCCGCACCUAGACGGAAAGACCCCGUGAACCUUUACUACAGCUUGGCACUGAACAUUGAACCUACAUGUGUAGGAUAGGUGGGAGGCUUUGAAGCAGCGGCGCCA